rnacentral:rRNA from 1 species
GAUGAACGCUGGCGGCGUGCCUAAUACAUGCAAGUCGAGCGAACGGACGAGAAGCUUGCUUCUCUGAUGUUAGCGGCGGACGGGUGAGUAACACGUGGAUAACCUACCUAUAAGACUGGGAUAACUUCGGGAAACCGGAGCUAAUACCGGAUAAUAUUUUGAACCGCAUGGUUCAAAAGUGAAAGACGGUCUUGCUGUCACUUAUAGAUGGAUCCGCGCUGCAUUAGCUAGUUGGUAAGGUAACGGCUUACCAAGGCAACGAUGCAUAGCCGACCUGAGAGGGUGAUCGGCCACACUGGAACUUAGACACGGUCCAGACUCCUACGGGAGGCAGCAGUAGGGAAUCUUCCGCAAUGGGCGAAAGCCUGACGGAGCAACGCCGCGUGAGUGACGAAGGUCUUCGGAUCGUAAAACUCUGUUAUUAGGGAAGAACAUAUGUGUAAGUAACUGUGCACAUCUUGACGGUACCUAAUCAGAAAGCCACGGCUAACUACGUG